rnacentral:lncRNA from 1 species
UACCUAAAAGAGAUCAAGAGAUAUUACUUCUAGCUUGCUGACGAACAGAAGAUGUUCAUCAGCAAUAGGACUAUCUUUUUAGAAAAAGAGUUUCUUGGUGAAGGAACUAAUGCCUCAAAAUUGAACUUGAUGAAGUUCGAUCGGUAGAAGAACUGACACAAUCUAGUAAACCCAUAGAGUCAGACUUGAUUAGAUCAAAUCCGAAACCUAUUGCAGAAAUAUCUUUAAGA